AGAGUUUGAUCAUGGCUCAGGACGAACGCUGGCGGCGUGCUUAACACAUGCAAGUCGAACGGGGUAUCAGGGUAGUAAUACCCGAAGUACCUAGUGGCGAACGGGUGCGUAACACGUGAGCAACCUACCCCAGAGCUUGGAAUAACACCGGGAAACCGGUGCUAAUACCGAAUACUCUCAUUCGGCCGCAUGACUGAAUGAGGAAAGAUUUAUCACUCUGGGACGGGCUCGCGGCCUAUCAGCUUGUUGGUGAGGUAACGGCUCACCAAGGCUACGACGGGUAGCUGGUCUGAGAGGACGAUCAGCCACACUGGGACUGAGACACGGCCCAGACUCCUACGGGAGGCAGCAGUGGGGAAUAUUGCGCAAUGGGCGAAAGCCUGACGCAGCAACGCCGCGUGGAGGAUGAAGGCUUUCGGGUUGUAAACUCCUUUCAGCAGGGACGAAACUGACGGUACCUGCAGAAGAAGCCCCGGCUAACUACGUGCCAGCAGCCGCGGUGAGACGUAGGGGGCAAGCGUUGUCCGGAUUUAUUGGGCGUAAAGAGCUCGUAGGCGGCUUGGCAAGUCGGAUGUGAAAUCUCCAGGCUUAACCUGGAGUCGCCAUCCGAUACUGCUAUGGCUAGAGUCCGGUAGAGGAUCGUGGAAUUCCUGGUGUAGCGGUGAAAUGCGCAGAUAUCAGGAGGAACACCAACGGCGAAGGCAGCGAUCUGGGCCGGUACUGACGCUGAGGAGCGAAAGCGUGGGGAGCGAACAGGAUUAGAUACCCUGGUAGUCCACGCCCUAAACGUUGGGCACUAGGUGUGGGGCCUAUUUCGACGGGUUCCGUGCCGUAGCUAACGCAUUAAGUGCCCCGCCUGGGGAGUACGGUCGCAAGGCUAAAACU
rnacentral:rRNA from 1 species